AGAGUUUGAUCCUGGCUCAGAUUGAACGCUGGCGGUAUGCUUAACACAUGCAAGUCGAACGGUAGCAGGCCUUCGGGCGCUGACGAGUGGCGGACGGGUGAGUAACGCGUAGGAAUCUGCCUCAUAGUGGGGGACAACGUGGGGAAACUCACGCUAAUACCGCAUACGCCCUACGGGGGAAAGCGGGGGCUCUUCGGACCUCGCGCUAUGAGAUGAGCCUGCGUUAGAUUAGCUAGUUGGUGGGGUAAAGGCCUACCAAGGCGACGAUCUAUAGCUGGUCUGAGAGGACGAUCAGCCACACUGGGACUGAGACACGGCCCAGACUCCUACGGGAGGCAGCAGUGGGGAAUAUUGGACAAUGGGCGCAAGCCUGAUCCAGCAAUACCGCGUGUGUGAAGAAGGCCCUAGGGUUGUAAAGCACUUUCAAUUGGGAGGAAAACCUGCCGGUUAAUACCCGGUAGCUUGACAUUACCAAUAGAAGAAGCACCGGCUAACUCCGUGCCAGCAGCCGCGGUAAUACGGAGGGUGCGAGCGUUAAUCGGAAUUACUGGGCGUAAAACGUGCGUAGGUGGUUCGUUAAGUCAGAUGUGAAAGCCCCGGGCUUAACCUGGGAACGGCAUUUGAAACUGGCGGACUAGAGUUGAGUAGAGGGGAGUGGAAUUUCAGGUGUAGCGGUGAAAUGCGUAGAUAUCUGAAGGAACACCAGUGGCGAAGGCGACUCCCUGGACUCAAACUGACGCUGAGGUACGAAAGCGUGGGUAGCAAACAGGAUUAGAUACCCUGGUAGUCCACGCUGUAAA
rnacentral:rRNA from 1 species